ensembl:lincRNA B230110C06Rik RIKEN cDNA B230110C06 gene
GCCUCUGAAUCCGGAGCUGUAGGAAGCAAAAAGUCGAACUGCAAGAACACAGUGAGAGAAAUGGGCAGAUGUCUUAAGGCUAGGGUAGCUGGGGGGAAGGGCGCACGCGAGAACUGAACAGAUACCGCACCAGCAACCAGAAAUCAAGUCCAGCUCAGCAAAGGAUGUUCUUUAAUAUGAGAAGCUGAUUGGUUGUUUCCUCUGCUUCUGCUGAUGUCCAAUUAAAAGAAUGAAACCGGAGAAAGAUAGCUUCUUGGAAGCCCUACUUAUAAUCUAAUUAGUGAACCAGAGAGGGAACUUAGCAUCUCUAACCUUCAUGCUAACCUUCAGGGCCUUUUUGCUUCAGAGUAGAACAAGCAAACUCAGUUAAAAUGCCAGAGAUUUUCAAGGAAUGGAACAAAGAAAGCAGAGUGACAGGAAUGAAAGACACUGAAAAAGUCCUCACUGGCAGGAAUUUAUUCUUGUUACUUCUGCAUACCAUCAACGAUGUUUGCAUCUUCAUCAAGGCUAGACAUCUCUUCCUGUGAACUUGGGAUGGAUGGAAGAUGUCUGUGGAAGGAUGCAGAUGAUGAGGCCAUUAAGAACUCAACUGUGAUGGACAGUCUUUUUCAAAUUAUUGUUAUUAUUAUUAUUAUGUGUAUUUUAUUAUUCCAUAGUAUCUGACCACCCUCUCUAUUACAAAUCAUACUUAAUGUUGUCACUUAUGGUACAGUAUACACAUAGCACCAUAAAAACAAGCCAUGGAGUUAGCCCUCACUACUGCAUGAAUGUCUGAAGGACAGGUACCAUCGGCUAUCUUUCUAGCCUGCAUCAAUUAUCCUGUCUACUGCUGCAUGUCCAUUUUUACCUAUCAUUAAGAUUCACAAAAACUUAAGUUACUUAAAAAUUAAACAUUUAAAUGUUUGUUGACAAAACAAUAAACAUGAAAAAUUUUUCCUAUU